GACGAACGCUGGCGGCGUGCUUAACACAUGCAAGUCGAACGGAAAGGCCCUGCGCUUGUGGGUCGCUCGAGUGGCGAACGCGUGAGUAACACGCGAGGAACCUGCCCUUGACUGUGGGAUAACUUCUCGAAACUGGGGCUAAUACCGGGUAGGAUCUCUUGCUGCAUGGUGGUGGUUGGAAAGUGUCGGCGGUUGGGGAUGUACUCGCUGCUUAUCCGCUUGAUGGGGGGGUAGUUGCUUACCAAGGCUUUGACGGGUAGCCUGCAUGGGAGGGUGACCGGCCACAUUGGGACUGAGAUACGGCGCAGAAGCCUACGGGCGGCAGCAGGGGGGAAUAUUGCGCAAUGGGCCGAAGCCUGAUGCAGCAAUGCCGGGUGCGGGAUGACGGGUUUCGGGUUGUAAGCAGAUUUCGCCUGUGACGAAGCGUGCGUGACGGUAAUGGGUCAAGAAGCAACGGCUAACUACGUG
rnacentral:rRNA from 1 species